rnacentral:lncRNA from 1 species
GUUGAAGAAAGAAGAUAUUCUGCAAAUCAACAACACACAUCCAAAAUACUUCAUAAUUGGUGGAAAGGAGGCUGGCUACAUCUAUUGCCAUAAUUUGGUUCAUUUACAUGCUCUGCAAACAUCCUCAUAUUCAAGAUAAGGUUGAAUAAGAAAUCAAAGAAGCAACAAACAUGAGAAAUGAUAAGUAGCUUCAUGUAACUUGGAACAAAACUCUCACGACUCUAUCCUGCAUCUCAGUGGGAUACGGAGCUAAUCCAUGAUCUAGCAGACUGCAGACUCGUAUUUGGUGCAACUAGACAAAUUGAAGUUAUACGAGGAUAAGUAAUGGACAAAUGUCUCAACAAGCCACACGCGUGGACAAAUGCUAUAGGCUGUCAAUUUCAAGGCAUCUUGGUGGUGGGAUAAGACUUUGGGACCAAUAGGUCUUG